UUGAAGCUGUAAGAGAAAGAAAAAAACUUUAGACUGGAACUACAGUUCUAACUACAAACCAAGCACAGGGGAACAUGGCGGAGGGGAUUCCAACUCUGAAUUUGCAUGGCACUGACUCAUUUGCAACCUGAGACCAGGAUCAGUGCUGAAGCUGAGGUGCAACUGAGCAACAACUGGGGGUUCAGAACAAGUAAACCCCCUAAGUACUUUAGGUUGCAGGACUCGGGGACCCUCAAUGCAAGCAUUCUCCAAUCAAUUCCACAUAUUCCCUUUUUGAAAGCAUGGAAAUCUACCUAGGAAAUAGAUCUCAUUUCAAAAGCAUUCAAGAAUAUGGACAUCUUGGGAAAAGGGUGCCCCUGGGAUCCCCCUGUCUGCCUCUCACGUGCUGGGAUUAGGCUUGCAUUACCAUUGCCCGACCUAGAGGAGAUUCUUAAAGCAGACUGUGGUGCAUCAAAGAAGGGAACCCUCAUCUGGGUGUGACCUGGGAUGAUUGUCCUGGCAGAACUGAAGGUGCUGUGCAAAGACUUCUGAAGAGCAACAUGGACUGGAAGGAAGUCUGGUGUCCUUCAUUGUUGGGGCCAAAAAAUAUCAAUUAUGAUAUUUUGGGGUACAAACCUCAGCUCGAUCCCAGGAGCUUCAAUCUCCCAUUGUCUUUCAGAUGCUGGCUGGUUACCACUAGAUGCCUGGCCUUGGUGGGGAAUGGUUCCUAGUUUGUGUAACAAUGGACCAAGGCCUCUGGGUAGAUGCAUACCCAUCAUGGGGGCUGAUGAAAACGUGCCUGGAAACUAGUAAGCCUAGUAGUAUACAAGGAAGCUUGUGUACCAGCCUAGGGACUGGUGAGAGGCUGGUGAGGACGUGCAGUUCUAAGACUACCUCUAGGAUUAAAGGAAAUAUUUAAUAUCAGCUUGAUACAUGAUAAUAGAUGUCUUUUCCCCACUGUUGGAAAGCUAU